CAUGCACACCGUUAAAGCCUCGCACUGCUGUGGGUGUUCAGGUGUCGGAAGUGUGCUAAAGUGAUACAGCCGGGUUUUCGCUAACACCAGUAGGGCUGAUGCGCCCCAUGACUGGGGUUUGAUAGCGACCUGAGCUACAUUC
ensembl:snoRNA SNORA62 Small nucleolar RNA SNORA62/SNORA6 family